rnacentral:rRNA from 1 species
GGGAGGGCAGCAGUGGGGAAUAUGGACAAUGGGCGAAAGCCUGAUCCAGCCAUGCCGCGUGUGUGAAGAAGNUCUUUCGGAUUGUAAAGCACUUUAAGUUGGGANRAAGGGUNGUAGAUUAAUACUCUNCAAUUUUGACGUUACCGACAGAAUAAGCACCGGCUAACUCUGUGCCAGCAGCCGCGGUAAUACAGAGGGUGCAAGCGUUAAUCGGAAUUACUGGGCGUAAAGCGCGCGUAGGUGGUUUGUUAAGUUGGAUGUGAAAUCCCCGGGCUCAACCUGGGAACUGCAUUCAAAACUGACUGACUUAGAGUAUGGUAGAGGGUGGUGGAAUUUUCCCUGUGUAGCGGUGAAAUGCGUAGAUAUCGGANGCCAACACCCAGUNGCGAA